rnacentral:rRNA from 1 species
AGAUUGAACGCUGGCGGCAUGCUUUACACAUGCAAGUCGAACGGUAACAGGCCGCAAGGUGCUGACGAGUGGCGAACGGGUGAGUAAUGUAUCGGAACGUGCCCAGUCGUGGGGGAUAACGCAGCGAAAGCUGCGCUAAUACCGCAUACGAUCUAUGGAUGAAAGCGGGGGACCGUAAGGCCUCGCGCGAUUGGAGCGGCCGAUAUCAGAUUAGGUAGUUGGUGGGGUAAAGGCGUCACCAAGCCAACGAUCUGUAGCUGGUCUGAGAGGACGACCAGCCACACUGGGACUGAGACACGGCCCAGACUCCUACGGGAGGCAGCAGUGGGGAAUUUUUGGACAAUGGGCGCAAGCCUGAUCCAGCAAUGCCGCGUGCAGGAAGAAGGCCUUCGGGUUGUAACUGCUUUUGUACGGAACGAACGUCUGGUUAAUACCGUGGGCUAAGUGACGGUACGUAAGAAGUAACGACGACCGACUAACGUACGUCG